rnacentral:misc_RNA from 1 species
GGCAAAUCAAACCCGAGAAUCGAUUAUAAGCUCAAUAUAAUAAAUACCAUUACAAAACUUCAUCCCUCAUUCUUCUGAGGGUCACCGUUUGAGUGCUACUAUUUCUUAUAAAACUGUUUCAAGGUAAAACUCCUUGAAAUUACUCCCUUACAGGACCCUAUUUAGAGGGAUAACAGGGGAAAAUAGCUCCCUAGCAUGGUAAUAUAUGAUAUGAGAGACAAAUUCACUUUCACUAACAAAAUAACACUCUUUAAGCAGGAAAUCUGACAUCCUUUUUCCCCUCCCCAAUUUAAGCAUACUAAAUACCACAUUGUACCUGGUCAUGAUCCAUGUAGCAGCCUGGUAUUCGAUCUUAUCCUAAAUAUGGCCAUCAUAUGUGUUGAUUAUCUUGGGCAACUUUCCAGUAUCAGUUUAUAUAGCUCUCACCCCAUUUAUUAAAUUCAUUGUAACAUUCACAGAUUUACCCAAUUCAAUAGCUGCUCCGACGUAGGUAUGGGGUGUCAACUCCAAAAGAUAGGAUUUUGCUUCUUUUGGCAAUGCCAAGCCUUCAAUAAAUUCUCUUAUACUCCCUUUAGUAACAGCUCUUCCUCUGGUUAGCUCUUUUAGCUUCUCAUAAGGCUCAGGAACACCAUAUCGUCGCAUUACUGUCUGUAUUGGCUCAGCAAGCACUUCCCAUGAUUGGUUCAGAUCUUCACUCAAACGAUUUUCAUUCACCUGAAGCUUCCCUAUUCCCUGCAAUGCACUUUUGUAGGCAAGAAGAGAAUGUCCCAAGCCCUCACCCACAUUCCUUAAAACAGUUGAAUCAGUCAAGUCACGCUGAAAUUAGAAUAGAUGCAAAAAAAUUAUAAUUGUCAGGACAGAAAAACACCCGAAUUGUAAAUAGCCAAUGACUAUGAUCUAUAUUAUGGGCACAUCAAAAUACAACUGAUACCUAAAACUACUCCUUAAGGCCCAUGAGAACUUAUGCAGGAGUAGAGUUGAAUCAGGGAUUUAAUAAGCAAAUAGUACUUACUCAAUGCUGUAACCUAGGUUAAAAACAAGACAAUACUGCAGCAGCUUCCUAUAGGUAGGCUUUCAACACAACUCUUUUAACUUGAAAUUUCACACACACAGCCAUAGAAACUAGAAGCAACAACUUGAACAGACUAAGCAGGCAUGGAACACAAAAGGAAUACGUUAAAAAGUAAAUGAACCAUUUCUUACCUGCCAACGUGAAAUAGGUAACUUCUCACUGAGAUGAGAUAAACUUCCAUUGGCUUUACCAAGAUUACCUUCACUAUUUUCAAAAUCAAUAGGAUUUACUUUGUGAGGCAUUGUUGAGGAACCAAUCUCACCAGCCUUAGUUAUCUGCUUAAAGUAUGCUAAGGAUAUGUAGCCCCAUAUGUCUCUAUCAAAAUCAAUUAAUAUAGUGUUAAAUAUCAUAAUUGCAUGAAAAAGUCUUGCCAUAUAAUCAUGUGGUUCAAUCUGCCAAAAGCAUACAGACAGAUAGUUAGAAGAACAAAUAACGGCAUUAUUAAUUUUGAUAACGGCAUUAUUAAUUUUGAUAACGGCAAGAUUAAUUUUGACAAUGGCAUUAUCAAAAUCAACCAGUAUGAUAUCAUUAAAAAAUGAACCAAAAUUUCAAAGAAAGAAAAUAAGGGAAGAAGAAGACGCAGCAGCAGCUUGCAUUAACUCCACCAACAGUCACUCAACAGUUCCCAAAACCAGAUACGUUUCAUCCACCACUCAUUGCAGAAGUUGCAAGUAGUUCCAAUGUUUACAUUGAAAACCCAUAAAAAGAUUAAACCCUUAGCAGCAUAUUUAAGCGUCAAUACAUUGAAAACGAUUGAGCCAGUAACUAAGCAUGUUUGGAUGCAUUAAAAUCAAAUGAUCAACCUGCUAACUGCAUCUCUUAGUCUCUAUGAUAUGAAAUCAAAGUCUGAUAAGAUCUCAUUAAGAAGAGUAAGCUGAAAUGGUGUACCUGAGUGACAUAUGGAUUAAAACACAAUCCCAGAGAUUCCACAAACUCUUUGGCAAUUAGAGGCCAAUUGACACCAGGAUAUGCAAUAAGGUGCGCAUUGUAAUUUCCAACUGCACCAGCAAACUUCCCCUUUAUCUUAACUUGAGAAAUUUCCUGCCUUUGUUCGCUUAACCUGGCAGCAAAAACUGCCAUUUCCUUUCCCAAAGUUGUAGGUGAAGCUGGCUGUCCAUGAGUGCGGGAAAGCAUCGGGAUGGAAGCAUUAUCUUCAGCCAUGUUGCAUAUUGCUGUGAUCAAUUCAUCCAUUAUGGGAAAAAUGACCUUGUUCAUUGAUUCUUGAAGCAUUAAUGCAUGGGCCAGAUUGUUGAUAUCCUCGGAUGUGCAAGCAAAAUGGAAAAAUUCAAGCACCUUAGCAAUCUCUGGAUGUGAUUGGCAUUUCUUUUUCAAAAAGUACUCCACUGCUUUUACGUCAUGGUUUGUCACUUUCUCAAUAUUUUUAACCUCCAAGGCAUCAUCCAUGCUAAACCCAUCAAUCAAUCCUUGUAAAUAAAUCUGAGCUUCUUCACUAAAACUGGGAACCUCAGGAACUUCAGGAAUUUGGGAGAGUUUCAGCAACCAUUUAACCUCAACCAGAACGCGAUAAUAAAUUAGCCCGUAUUCACUCAAAUGAGGAGACAAGUCCUUCACUUUACCCCAAUACCGGCCGUCCAAAGGCGACAGCGCCGUCAAAUUCGAAAGCUCAAAGUCACGCGCACCCAUCUUAGAGAUAGACGUAACGGUGUCUUUGAGAGUGGAUUUGCAAGAGAAAUCUCCGCUAAAAAAUGGUGCAGAGAAGCGAAGUGAAGCAUUAGAAGGAUUACAGAAGCUUGGUUUUUGAAGUAAGGUUGCUGUAAAACAUGAGAACUGGGUGAUGCUAUUAAAAACCCUAGAAGACGAAGAAGAAGCAGAAGCAGCAGCAGCAGUUGUAAACUCCAUUAACGAAUAAAGAGCAGAGUACAGUUGAGAAGGCUUGAAUCUCAAGCGGGG